GACGAACGCUGGCGGCGUGCUUAACACAUGCAAGUCGAACGGAAAGGCCCUGCACUUGUGGGGUGCUCGAGUGGCGAACGGGUGAGUAACACGUGAGUAACCUGCCCUUGACUUUGGGAUAACUUCAGGAAACUGGGGCUAAUACCGGAUAGGAGCUCCUUCUGCAUGGUGGGGGUUGGUGAGUUUCGGCGGUUGGGGAUGGACUCGCGGCUUAUCAUCUUGUUGGUGGGGUAGUGGAUUACCAAUGCUUUGAGGGGUAGCCGGCUUGGGAGGGUGACCGGCCACAUUGGGACUGAGGAACGGCCAGGACUGCUACGGGAGGCAGCAGUGGAAAAUAUUGCACAAUGGGCGGAAGCAUGGUGCAGCAUCGCCGCGUGCGGGAUGACGGCCUUUGGGGUAGAAACCGCUUUCGCCUGUGACGAAGCGUGAGUGACGGUAAUGGGUAAAGAAGCACCGGCUAACUACGUG
rnacentral:rRNA from 1 species